rnacentral:rRNA from 1 species
CUCCUACGGGAGGCAGCAGUGGGGAAUCUUGCACAAUGGGGGAAACCCUGGAUGCAGCGACGCCGCGUGAGCGAUGAAGCCCUUCGGGGUGUAAAGCUCUUUCGACGGGAACGAUAAUGACGGUACCCGAAGAAGAAGCUGCGGCUAACUACGUGCCAGCAGCCGCGGUAAUUC